UACGUAGGGUGCGAGCGUUGUCCGGAAUUAUUGGGCGUAAAGAGCUCGUAGGCGGUCUGUCGCGUCUGCUGUGAAAUCCCGAGGCUCAACCUCGGGCUUGCAGUGGGUACGGGCAGACUAGAGUGUGGUAGGGGAGAAUGGAAUUCCUGGUGUAGCGGUGGAAUGCGCAGAUAUCAGGAGGAACACCGAUGGCGAAGGCAGUUCUCUGGGCCGUAACUGACGCUGAGGAGCGAAAGCCAGGGGAGCGAACGGG
rnacentral:rRNA from 1 species